AACGAACGCUGGCGGCAGGCUUAACACAUGCAAGUCGAACGGGCCCUUCGGGGUCAGUGGCCGACGGGUGAGUAACGCGUGGGAACGUGCCCUUCAGUUCGGGAUAACCCAGGGAAACUUGGGCUAAUACCGGAUACGUGCGAGAGCAGAAAGAUUUAUCGCUGAAGGAUCGGCCCGCGUCUGAUUAGCUGGUUGGUGGGGUAAUGGCCCACCAAGGCGACGAUCAGUAGCUGGUCUGAGAGGAUGAUCAGCCACAUUGGGACUGAGACACGGCCCAAACUCCUACGGGAGGCAGCAGUGGGGAAUAUCGGACAAUGGGCGCAGGCCUGAUCCAGCCAUGCCGCGUGAGUGAUGACGGCCUUAGGGUUGUAAAGCUCUUUCGCACGCGACGAUAAUGACGGUAGCGUGAGAAGAAGCCCCGGCUAACUUCGUGCCAGCCGCCGCCGUAA
rnacentral:rRNA from 1 species